rnacentral:tRNA from 1 species
GGUACUGCGCCGGCUGAACGGGUUACAUUGAUGUUGUAAAAUAUGAGAUUUUGUUCUCUAGUACCU